rnacentral:rRNA from 1 species
UGGCUAACUCCUACGGGAGGCAGCAGUGGGGAAUAUUGCGCAAUGGGGGCAACCCUGACGCAGCCAUGCCGCGUGUGUGAAGAAGGCCUUCGGGUUGUAAAGCACUUUAAGUGGGGAGAAAAGGGUAGCGGUUAAUAGCGGUUACCUGUGAUGUUACCCACAGAAUAAGCACCGGCUAACUCCGUGCCAGCAGCCGCGGUAAUACGGAGGGUGCGAGCGUUAAUCGGAAUUACUGGGCGUAAAGCGCGCGUAGGCGGUUUGUUAAGUCAGCUGUGAAAGCCCCGGGCUCAACCUGGGAACUGCAGUUGAUACUGGCCGACUGGAGUACGAGAGAGGGAGGUAGAAUUCCAUGUGUAGCGGUGAAAUGCGUAGAUAUAUGGAGGAAUACCAGUGGCGAAGGCGGCCUCCUGGCUCGAUACUGACGCUGAGGUGCGAAAGCGUGGGGAUCAAACAGGAUUAGAUACCCGUGUAGUCCAGCUGG